UCUUUGUAACUGACGGAAACGUGGGUCACCACAGGGGAGCAGAGAGCGUUUUUUUGCUGAAUCUUCAGCAGCCGACCGUCUGGGCACU
rnacentral:ncRNA from 1 species